rnacentral:rRNA from 1 species
GGAGUUAGCCGGUGCUUCUUCUGUGAGUGAUGUCCUUCCUGCCGGUUAUUGACCCGCAGGCCUUCUUCCUCACUGAAAGUGCUUUACAACCCGAAGUCCUUCUUCACACACGCGGCAUGGCUGGAUCAGGGUUGCCCCCAUUGUCCAAUAUUCCCCACUGCUGCCUCCCGUAGGAGUCUGGGCCGUGUCUCAGUCCCAGUGUGGCUGAUCAUCCUCUCAGACCAGCUACGGAUCGUCGCCUUGGUGAGCCGUUACCUCACCAACCAGCUAAUCCGACAUAGGCUCAUCCGAUAGCGCGAGGCCCGAAGGUCCCCCGCUUUCCCCCGUAGGGCGUAUGCGGUAUUAGCCUGGGUUUCCCCAGGUUAUCCCCCACUACCGGGCAGAUUCCUAUGCAUUACUCACCCGUCCGCCGCUCGCCACCAGGGAGCAAGCUCCCCGUGCUGCCGCUCGACUUGCAUGUGUUAGGCCUGCCGCCAGCGUUCAAUCUGAGCCAGAAUCAAACUCUGA